rnacentral:rRNA from 1 species
CAUUAUUGAAAUAAAAAAACUCAGGCAGGGGGGAGUGUGGUUGUAGCUGGCCCCCCUAAUAAGGGCAUGUGCACACCGUCUCUUUCUCUUGUUUGUUUUUUUUCAUUCUUUCCACUUGUGCACUGCUUGUAGGCAGCCUGGCAUUGUUCGGGUUGUCUAUGAUUUUCUUUUACAUACAUGAAUCAUUGUUGUACAGAAUGUGAUAAAAAUGAAUAAUACAACUUUCAACAACGGAUCUCUUGGCUCUCGCACCGAUGAAGAACGCAGCGAAAUGCGAUAAGUAAUGUGAAUUGCAGAAUUCAGUGAAUCAUCGAAUCUUUGAACGCAUCUUGCGCUCCUUGGUAUUCCGAGGAGCAUGCCUGUUUGAGUGUCAUUAAAUUCUGUCAAAACAUGCACUUGAGUGUGUUUUGGAUUGUGGGAGUGUCUGCUGGCUUUAUAUGAGUCAGCUCUCCUGAAAGACAUUAGCUUUGGAGGGAUGUGCCAAGUCACUUCUGCCUUUCCAUUGGUGUGAUAGAUGAAUAAACUUAUCUACGCCAGGAAAGCAGGUUGCAGGUGAUGCACUGUGAUCUCUCUGCUCUCUAAUUGACAUUUGUCUGAUAACUUGACCUCAAAUCAGGUAGGACUACCCGCUGAACUUAA